UAGCAGCUCAGCAGUACUAGUGAUGCCAUGCCCAUGCCACUAACGAGGGAAACCCGUCUUCCUCCACACCAUAGGCUGACCGCAUUUUCUUAGAAAAUGGAAGGGUUUCAUUCGGGAUAUAUGGAUUCUUUAGUGCUACUGAUGUCUUUCCUUUUUGUUACAAGUUUGAAAUAUGCGGUAAAUUCUGUGAUAUUUUUGUAACUAUCCUGGUAAAUUCUGCGACAUUCACCUCUCUCAGACCUUGCGUAAAGCGGGAGCCUUGUGCACUGGGUACGACCUUUUAUCCUGGUAAAACAAAAGGUAAAAGGUCAAGGUAGCUGAAUUUAUAAUUAUAUAACUUUUUUUUAAUCCUCUGCAGCUAGUUCGAAUCGAUUUAGUACAGAAUACCGUUAGUAUAAAAAUAAAGCG
rnacentral:lncRNA from 1 species